GCCCGAGUGGCGGAACUGGUAGACGCACGGGACUUAAAAUCCCGAGGUGGGAAACUACCGUGCCGGUUCGAGUCCGGCCUCGGGCA
rnacentral:tRNA from 1 species